GCCCAGGUGGCGGAAUUGGUAGACGCGCUAGAUUCAGGUUCUAGUGACCACUAGGUCGUGGAAGUUCGAGUCUUCUCCUGGGCACCA
rnacentral:tRNA from 1 species